GUGACCGAUAGUUAAUUUUUUUACUCAAAGUGGAUGUAUAAUAGUACCGUGAAUUAUCUGCCUUGCUACAAUUAAACAAGCCAUUCUAAACAAUUUGUUAAAGGAAAUGCUUACAAAGACAUUGCGGUAGUGCAUUGUGGAUGUAAGGUGGAUGGACGUGGAGGAGACAGGGAUGUUAAGCUCACACGCAUGGCACAGGUAGAAUGGUGGUGUUUUAAAAUCCACACUAUGCCUCUGUACAAACACAGUGAGCAAUGGAAGGCCUAGAAAAAAAAACCCCAAAUAAAACCAAAACAUGAGCAACUUUGACAUGAGAUAAUCAGAGUUUCAUUGGUAAACAAGAGAAUAACAGACUAACUUCAAUGAAAAUGCAUGUAGUAUCUAGCAUAUCACAAUCACUGAUUAAAUAAUAAAUAAAACAAUACUUUAAAUUUACUUUGUAGCAUAGCACAAUUUUAACAAAAUACUUCAUAAAAUGACAUGGCGUGAUUCAUCAUGCAGCUCACCUAUGAUUGGUGUAAACGACUUCUUGCCAUAGCAGUUCCAUAUGAACUGGUACAGUUUAAUCUCAGAGACGGUUCCUAACCAGAGACACCAACAACAAUGGUAGGCGCACAUCCUCAGUUGUAAAAUCUGUGUUGGUGGGACUUCAUUUGUAUAUUUGCUUUACUUCUGUAUGAUUAUGUAUUUCUCCUUUAAUGGCUUUGCAACCUUCUGCUUUGAACUUACUGUUCAGUUUGACAAAUUAAACAAAAAAAAUCUUCUGAAAUUAAAUGUACCCACCACUGUACUGGCCUGGAAAGGGAAACAAGAGAUACAGAAAGGGUUAGUCAAAAUUAACCACUAAAUCUCAACUAACACCAAGCCACACAUUAAAAAUUGUUAUUGAUAAUGGUCUCCUUCUCCUACUAGGGUUCUUCUGGUCACAGUUUACAAAGAAUGAUCAUGUUUUAAACAACUGAUACAGGUCCUUUUAAGGUAAAAUGAAAAUUUCUUUAGCAUAUUACCUGGUCCAAACAGCUCAAUGAGUUUCUGUAAUCACAAACAUUGAAAACAUGAAAAUUAGUAAUAGGCACUUAAAUACGCAUCGACAUACAUACGGUGUUUAAAUACACAAGAGUUACUAAUUUAUUAUGAUCAGGACAAUGAAACUGAUAUGGUAGUGCAUGUGAGGCACUGGUAUGACAGAAUCAGAGCAGUCUUCCAGUCCACCACAUAAAUUAUAGACAUAGUGUAGAGGUGUGCAUAAGGAUGGGGUCUUAGAGAACACCCAGCAAAAAAAAAAGAAAGAAAGAAAAAAAAAAAAAAGGGUGGAGCAGCAAGUAAUUUUACCGUCACAUGUGUGGAAGUGGUCAGAUAUAAAGCUUGCGAGACAAUGAAAGGCCAUGUCAAUUACACGUGAUAACACUGAACAGGCCACAGUACUUGCAUGAUGCUGGACAUGUUUACUGUGUUAAUUCAUUAAUCUUCAGGAACUGCUCUGGUCGCCAAGGUAAAAAUGACUAAUUUGUUUAUAUUAUGAAAACAGUAGGAGACAAUAAGAAACACAAACAACCAUGUUCACUAGAAAUGAUCAUGGGCAAGUACAAAUAAAUAACAAUGGUUGGACUGGUCAACAUCUGCAGGAGUGGAUAAGAGGAGGAAAAAGAAUAAAUGAAUAGAUAAAAGCCUGUACACCUAUAUGUGCAUGUGGAUGAAGGCAGAAGCCAAAAAACCCACCUGUUUGUGUUGCUUUCCCUUAAUAUGCUGCUUGUAAUCUUUUAUAAACUUUACUGUCUUGUCACAUUCCUAUGGCAGACAUCAGGAGAAUGACUUAACUAAAAUCACGUUCACAAUAGGGAUUAGACCACUUUUAAAAUUCACCCCCAGGGGAUGGUGAGAAGAAUCUUCAGUAGCACAAACAAGCAUACUACUGUACAGUAUUUCCCCCAUCCUGAUUUCUUCUGUUUUUGUGUAGCUCUCAUACAAAAUUUUUCAGAAGUGAAAACAAAAUCUAAAAUAAAACAAAAGGCAACCUGAGUGAACACAAAAUACAGUUUUAUAAUGUUAUUUAUUUAAGCCAAAAAAAAAAAAAAAGUUAUCCAAUACCAACUGGGCUUGUGUGAAAAUGUAUUUGCCCCAUAGUUACUAAAUCCCUGAAUCUAUGAAACUGCAUUCAUAAUGAGGUUCAGCUGGAGUAGACGCAACCAGGCCUGAUUACUGCAAACCCUGUUCAAUCAAAUCAACACUUAAAUAGAACUUUUUCGACAGCAUGAAGUUGGUUAAAAGGUCUUACCCAGUAACACACUAUGCCAAAGCUGAGAGAAAUUCCAGAAAUGACUAGGAAGAAGGUGAUCGAAAUACAUCAGUCUGGGAAGGGUUACAAAGCUAUUUCAAAGGCUCUGGGACUCCAAAGAACCACAGUGAGAGCCUGCCAUUAUCUCCGAAUGGAAAACUCAGCACAGUAGUAAACCUUCCCAGAAGAGGCAGACCUUCAAAAUUUCCUCCAAGAGCACAGCAAAUACUCAUCCAAGAAGUCACAAAAGACCCAAGGACCACAUCAAAGCCCUACAGGCCUCUCUUGCAUCAAUAAAGGUCACUGUUCAUGACUCCACUAUCAGAAAGACACGUCAAAAAUGGCAUCCAUUGAAGAGUGGCGAUGUGAAAACCUCUGCUAACCCAGAAGAACAUUAAGGCUCAUCUGAAUUUUGCCAAAACACACCUUGAUGAUCCUCAAACCUUUUGGGAGAAUGUUCUUUGAACUGAUGAGAACACAAAAUUCCACAAAGAGAUCAUCAUAUCUACAGAUAAGCAUGGUGGUGGAAGUGUGAUGGUAUGGGGAUGCUUUGCUACUUCAGGGCCUGGGCAACAAUAAUUGAGGGAAACAUGAAUUCUGCUCUCUAGGAGAAAAUCCUAAAAGGAGAAUGUCCCGUCUUCAGUCCGCGAGUUGAAUCUCAAGCGCAACUGGAUUAUGCAGCAAAACAAUGAUCCAAAGCAUAGGAGUGAGUCCUAGAAGUAAGUGAAAGCCUGAUCUCCAGUUAUCAGAAGCAUUUGGUUGCAGUUAUUGCUGCUAAAGAUGAUACAAGCAGAUUUUACAUUAAAGGGGGCAAUUAGUUUUUCCACAUGGGCAAUAGAUGUUGGAUAACUUUUUGCUUAAUAAAAUAAAAUAAAUAAAUAAAUUCUGUAUCGUGUGUUUACUCAGGUUGCUGUUUUAUGUUGCAUCUCGUUUUAGAUCGAGGAUCUAAAACUAUUUAAAAUCAGGAUUGGGCAAACACUUUCACAGCACUAUAUCUGGUGGUACUUUUAAAUAAUAAUAAUAAUAAUAAUAAUAAUAAUAAUAAUAAUAAUAA
ensembl:lncRNA